UUACCAUUCUUUUAAUCUCCAAAGACCCAAAUCUGAGUUUUUUGAGAUUCCCAUUAGUGAUGCAAUCUCACUAGUCAUACUCUAUGUUCCUUUCCCACACUAUUCCCAUUUCUACUAAACCAAAUAGAUAUUUAGAGAAGAGUAUACUGAAGAAAACUCAGUUCUGUACCCACUUCCUUAUAUUGAAAGAAAACGAUUGUCUGAAAUUAGAGUAUUCUGCUUCCUCUAUACCUACUCCAGCCCAAUGCCCUUGGGGCCCAUAUAACCCAGUCACAACAGGCAACCAACCCAGAUGUAUCCACCUCCAGUCUGACCUAUCUUCUAUUGAGGAACUACCCCUUUUCUCCUGGGCCUCAUGCUGCUGAAAGUGGCUCUGCUGCUCUUGGCUCUAUUCAUUGGAAAGUUUGAUGUCAUCACAAAGCCAUCCUGUCUCUUCAACCUCCAUGGACCACUUUCUUUUCUCAUGAGAAAGUAAAUCUGACUUGUGAGCAUCUGGGUCUCAUCGGAUUAGGAAAAAUUCAAUGGUACAAACAGGGAAAGAAGCUUCAUAAAACCUCUACAAACACCAUUAUAAUCUGGGAAAGUGGACAGUACAGCUGUGGGAAUGAGGAUUCUGCCCACAGUGACCCUGUAACCAUCACAUUCUUGAAGGGUGAGAAAAGGACAUUGUAUCACUCCAGGGAGUCAUGUCACAUUUAUCAUUUAAAGAUCCCAAGAGGAUGUAUUGGGGACUCAACUUUGGGGGUCUUCUUUUCCCUGGCAUCCCAUAUUCUUUCUAGGAACUAGCAGAAGCCUGGUCUAUAUCUAGAAUUUGAAGAAGAGAUAAAAUCUUGGGGAGAUCAAUGGAGACAGGUACUAGUGACUCAAGUGAUGGAGAUGCUUUUGGCAGUAAUAACUGCCCAUUUGUUCUAACCUUAUAAGUGAAGUCAGAAUCAGGAAUGGAGAGAAAGGUAAGGAGGAUUUUUAAUGAGUUAUGAAGAGUUUUUCUAUGAUUAAACUAUUAUAGAGAUCCAAUAAGAAACAUCUACUAUUGCAGAGUUCUAUUUAUAAUCAGAGUUGUCUAGGAAUACUAAAAAGUUAAGUGACUUGGCCAGAAUCACACAGCCAGGAUAUGUCGUAAAUGAAACGUAAGUCCACCUCAGCCCAAUUCUGAGGGCACCUGACUAUCCACAGGGCCAGGCUUCCUCUCAAAUGAAAAAUAUUGAAAAAGAAAGAGGCAGAAAGGGAGGGAGGGAAAGGAAGGGAAAGAGGAGGAGGAAUGAAGGGACAGAAAAAAAGGUCGAAAGGAGAAAGAGAGGGGAAAAAGGAAAAGACAAAGAAAAGGAAUAUGGGAAGAAGGAAAGUGUUAUUCCAUAGACCCUGGACCCUGGGCACUAAGUGAAGAACUCUCACUGAGAAGAAAGGAUGUCUGUCACCUUGGGAUUACUGAGGGACAUGCCAAGGGACCAGUAUGUAAGCCCUGGAGAGGGGAGACAGAAGGAAGAAGUAUCAUGAGUGGGGUUCUAAAUGACUCAGAAAAUCAUAUUAUGAUUGAUGUAACAUUGAUGAAUGACACUGAGAUUAUUCAAAUAGUGAACAAAUAUUUACUGAUGAAAUUGUUUUUAAAACAACUUUUUAUUGAUAUCCAUUGUUUUUAAAUUCCCUAAAUUUCCCAUUUGUGUCUUUUCCCCGAGAACCAUCCCAUGUGACAAAGAUUUUCUAUUAAAGAAAAGGAGGAAGAAAAAAAAAAUAAAACUGUAAAAUUCAUCAACAUAUCAAAAAACAACCCACAAACCCUAACUAUAUUUAAUGUCACAGAUUGUGCAUGCAUGUACGCACACACACAUACAUCCUCUGCAAAGUAGUGAUGAAAAAUGUUUCCUCUUUUUUUUCAAAUCAAGCUUGUUCUUUGCAAUUUUAUAACAUUCAUUUUCAGUUUUUUGCUGUUGUUCUUUUCAUUUUCAUUGUGAUAGUAAUGUAUAUCAUUUUCUUGACUCCUUAAUUAUGCAUCAGUUCAUAAGUCUUUCCAUGAUUCUCUGUAUCCAUUCCAUUUAUCAUUUCUUAUAAUAUUCAAUUACAUUCAUUUACCACAAUUUUUUAGCCAUUCCUCAUUAUGAUAGGCAUCUAUCAAUUGUAAUAUCAUUCAUUAAGUACAUAGCAUUUGAAAUGUACUGUGCUAGAUGUCAGGGAAAAUAUAAAAAUAAUUAAUUCUAUUUUAUUUUAUUUUCAUUUCCAAAUUCUCUUCCUCCCUUCUCCUCUCCUACCCACUGAAAAAACGGGAGGAAAGGAGGAGGGAGUAAAUAUCCUUGACAAAUAAUGUAUAAUCAUGCAAAACAACUUCCCACAUUAACCAUAACCAUGUCCAAAAAAGCAAAAAAGAAAAUAGUUUCAAUUUAUAUUCUAAGUACUUCAGUUCUUAAGAUAUCAAAAAAGCAAAACAAAAACCAAAAAAACCCUUCUAAAUACUUUUUAUUCUCUUAGUUCUAAGACACCACAUCCUCCUGAUUCUCUUUCUAACACCCUAAAAUGUUCUUUAUUUGUCCCUACUACUGGUUUCCUCCACCUUCUGACCCCUUUAGAUGGAUCUUUCCUAAAUUUCUCUCCUUGAUCCUUUCCUUUCUUUAUCUCUAGAUUAUCUCAUUUAUAGCCCUAAGUUCAUUAUCAUUGCUAUGCAGACAACACACAAAACUGCACCUAUUUUCCAAGUUUCAGAUUUGUCUCUAACAAUCUGAUAGCUCCACCUAGAUUUCCCACUGACAUCUCAAACAUGUCCAACGCAAAUAUUAUUAUCUAUUCCAAUCCUUCUCCCUCUGAUUUCACUAUUUCAUUCAUAACAUAAUCCAUACAGUUUGAAAUGUCAGCAUUACUUUUUAACUCUUUCCUCUCCUUUACACCUGAAUCUUUCGUCUUCAAUAUCUCAUAUCUGCCCCUAUCUGUCUAUUCCCAUUGCCAAUAUCCUUGUAUCAGUCCUUAUUAAUCAACCAACCAACAAGCAUUUAUUAAACACUUAAUAUAUGCGAGGUACUAGAAGAAGUGUUUGGGAUAAAAAGAGAAAGCACAAAAUGGUAAUACCAUUCACACUAUAUCAAUAACCAUCUAGUUGGUCCUCCUAUUUACAUUGUCCCCCUCCCCACUCAUAUUUAUCCUUCACACCCCUGCUAAACCUGUAUUGGGCCUAGAUUUUGUUAUGCUGUUUUCUUAGCUCAAAAAUUUUCAAUGAUUUCCUACUGCCUCCUGAGUAAAAUUAAAACUCAUUUGUCUCAUUCCUGUCCUUCUACAAUCCAGCACCAUCCCUAGCUUUUCAGCCACAUCUCAUGUGAAUCUCCUCCAUUUCAAUUAAAGUAAAAUAACAUUUAAAAAACAAAAACAAAAAAUAAGAAUGUAUUGAGAGUCCAUUAUGUGCCAGACACUGCACUUAGUGCUAGAGAUAGAGUGAAAAAUAAAACAAUAUCUUCCCUCAAAGAGCUUACAUUUUACUUUUAAAAGUAGGGUAUAC